UACGUAGGGUGCGAGCGUUAAUCGGAAUUACUGGGCGUAAAGCGUGCGCAGGCGGUUCGUUGUGUCGGUGGUGAAAGCCCCGGGCUUAACCUGGGAAUGGCCAUGGAAACUGGCGAACUGGAGUGUGACAGAGGGGGGUGGAAUUCCGCGUGUAGCAGUGAAAUGCGUAGAGAUGCGGAGGAACACCAGUGGCGAAGGCGGCACUCUGGGCCGGAACUGACGCUGAGGAGCGAAAGCGUGGGGAGCGAACAGG
rnacentral:rRNA from 1 species